GAUGAAGAACGUAGCGAAAUGCGAUAAGUAAUGUGAAUUGCAGAAUUCAGUGAAUCAUCGAAUCUUUGAACGCACAUUGCGCCCCUUGGUAUUCCGAAGGGCAUGCCUGUUCGAGCGUCAUUAUAACCACUCAAGCUCUCGCUUGGUAUUGGGGUUCGCGGUCUCGCGGCCCCUAAAAUCAGUGGCGGUGCCUGUCGGCUCUACGCGUAGUAAUACUCCUCGCGAUUGAGUCCGGUAGGUGACUUGCCAGCAACCCCCAAAUUUUUCAGGUUGACCUCGGAUCAGGUAGGGAUACCCGCUGAACUUAAGCAUAUCAAUAAGCGGAGGA
rnacentral:misc_RNA from 1 species